CGUUUAAUGCCCGUUUUCACCAACAACCUCUUACCGUUUCCCUAUCUAAAUGCUACUUUUAGUAAGGAUCCCUCCCAAUUUGACACCUACCUAAAUUCAUUUUCACCACACUUGUACAUGGAUCCCUUAAGUAAGUGACAGAUAACUAGUUCUACAAACGAUAAUGCAAAGUCGAUAUUUUAUCGAUAAAAUGAUUUUUCUGUACUUCUUAAGAAAUAAACGUCUAUCGAGUAUAUAUUACUAAAGCCUAAGAAAAAGACAAGCUAGUGAAAUUGCUGACGUCUCAUAGAGACACAAUAUUAAACAAAAAACGGAUGGGACCACGAACGAAGCCAAAAACAAAGCUUGGAUCCAGUCACAAAUAGUUUGAAUGCGACAGGAACCCUUUACAGGUAAAUGUGAAUAAUAUCUGUGUAUAAUAAUAUAGUGUAUUAAGAUAUUGCCGUACAACUGUGUUCCUUGUUUUACUGUCGGCUUCAUUGUAUUUUUGUUCUCCAUGAGUUGAUGGAUUUAAGUAUGGGGUUAAAAUUAUAUAUUUAUUUAGUUUCAGGUGGUGCGAGAAAUUGGAAAGACGUGUAAAAACAUGCUGCGCCCAGCCCACCUCAAAUUGAAUUGGUGCAGGAGGAUGAUGAUAAUGUUUGGUACAUCAUAUGAGGACUAAUAUUAAAAUAUUUGUUUACUAUCUUUGUUUUAAUUUACAUAAUUUAUUAUGUUCAAUGUUAGCCUACUUCUUACCUCCAGAGGGUAUAUCCCUAUCACCUAGGAGAUAGGCUCCUCCAUAUUCACCAUUUUCGAAUCAUUGGUAUCUACUGCAGUUUUGGUAUUUAAGGCCUAUUCAAACCUGAGCGAUAUUCGCUGCCGCUGCGGGUAGAGGUAGAUACCGUGCCGGUUUCGCUCAGGCAUUUAGUAUCAAGUAUAGUUACCGGCACGGAUAUUGAGCUCUCGGCGGAAGAGUGGGGAUCGCUUUGCGCACUGUACACAAGGCAAUAAACCAAUAAAUGGCUUCUGCGCAGGUGAAGGUCAGGGCUCAAUAUCCGUGCCGAUAACUAUACCGCGGCUAGAGCGACCUGAGCGAUAUCCACUGCCGCUGUGGGUAGAAGUACAUACCGCGCGGCAGCAGCGGCAUGCAUCCCGAACAUCAACAGUAAUAUUAACGCAUACCCACUGGGUUUUCUCUGUCGCAGGUGGUAGCGAAUACCGCUUAGGUCUGAACAGUCAUAUUACCGCAUACCCACAGGGUUUUCUCUGCCGUAGACGGUAGCGAAUACCGCUUAGGUCUGAAUAGGCCUAUAGUUGUCCCGGCCACCGCGAAACUACAUCAGUGAUUACCAGAUUUGCAUCUGUUAUGGUCUGUAUAUUUAUGGACAUGCAGGACUUCCUAUUUUUGAAUAAUUCAGCGACAUCACGACCUAGCAAGUGCAUUCAUAGCAAGUGAUAACCUAUAAUCUUAUAAAAAAGUCAUGAUCAUCGUACUUUUUUCUCAGACAUCUGCUCUUUCACGUAAGAUAGGUACGUGGUCUUCUAAUGAUUAUUAUUUUACAUAUCCACAACCUCCACAGCUUCUAAACUUUCUAAAAGUUUACGUUUCUUUUUUUUUUUGCUUUUUAAACAUGGUAUUUUUGGUGUUACAUAACAUAUAAAGGUACAUUUCACUAUCCAUCGCCAGAAACGGUUCAAAAUAUGUUUGUAUUCUGUAAUGAUAAUGAUAGGAGUUGUUUAAGCAGGCAUCAAUCGGGCUCCCAAGUUUAAGUGAAAUUUUUAGGUUAAAAUUGACACCUAGGCUUUGGUGAAAAUGAAAUUCUUAUUAACCGUCAAAUCCGUAGCGGACCCCAAUCGGGGUCUGAACAUCAAUGUCACCGUAAGCUCGGUUUAGACCCCAAUUGGGGUCUGCGAAUCAGUCAUACACUUUCCUAAUUAUUUACGCUCAUAUUUAUUUUCUUUCCAAUCAAACCACAUUUGUGAGUACUAAAUAAAAUAACUAAAUAAAUUUAAAUUAUUUUUACGCA